rnacentral:lncRNA from 1 species
UUUAAUCAAAUUCAGAGAAACCUCAAAGGAAUUCCAAAGAAACAAUAAGAAAUCUUAAAGAAAUAUUAGAAUAAUUACAAACAUAUCUCAAAUACAUCUCAAUUCAAUCUUAAUUUAAUCCUAGUUGAAAUCUUAUUGGACUUCAUUCAAACUUUAGGCCAAAAACUAACUAAAUCUUUAACCUUAAAUCAAAUCCUGAUCAAAUCUAAACCAAACCUUAAACCCUAAAUCAAACCCUUAACUCUAAACUAAAUCCUAAAUCCUAAAUCAAAUCCUAACCAAACCCUAGUCCUAAAUCAAAUCCUAAUUAAGCCCUAAAUUCUAAAUCCUAAACUAAAUCCUAAUCCUAAAUCAAACCCUAACCAAAUCCUAACCCUAAAUCAAAUCCUAACCA